GGCGUCGAGCGGCGGACGGGUGAGUAAUGCAUAGGAAUCUGCCCGAUAGUGGGGGAUAACCUGGGGAAACCCAGGCUAAUACCGCAUACGUCCUACGGGAGAAAGCAGGGGAUCUUCGGACCUUGCGCUAUCGGAUGAGCCUAUGUCGGAUUAGCUUGUUGGUGAGGUAAUGGCUCACCAAGGCGACGAUCCGUAGCUGGUCUGAGAGGAUGAUCAGCCACAUCGGGACUGAGACACGGCCCGAACUCCUACGGGAGGCAGCAGUGGGGAAUAUUGGACAAUGGGCGAAAGCCUGAUCCAGCCAUGCCGCGUGUGUGAAGAAGGCUUUCGGGUUGUAAAGCACUUUCAGUGAGGAAGAAAGCCUUGGGGCUAAUACCCCCAAGGGACGACAUCACUCACAGAAGAAGCACCGGCUAACUCCGUGCCAGCAGCCGCGGUAAUACGGAGGGUGCGAGCGUUAAUCGGAAUUACUGGGCGUAAAGCGCGCGUAGGCGGCGUGAUAAGCCGGUUGUGAAAGCCCCGGGCUCAACCUGGGAACGGCAUCCGGAACUGUCAGGCUAGAGUGCAGGAGAGGAAGGUAGAAUUCCCGGUGUAGCGGUGAAAUGCGUAGAGAUCGGGAGGAAUACCAGUGGCGAAGGCGGCCUUCUGGACUGACACUGACGCUGAGGUGCGAAAGCGUGGGUAGCAAACAGGAUUAGAUACCCUGGUAGUCCACGCCGUAAACGAUGUCGACUAGCCGUUGGGGUCCUAGAGACCUUUGUGGCGCAGUUAACGCGAUAAGUCGACCGCCUGGGGAGUACGGCCGCAAGGUUAAAACUCAAAUGAAUUGACGGGGGCCCGCACAAGCGGUGGAGCAUGUGGUUUAAUUCGAUGCAACGCGAAGAACCUUACCUACCCUUGACAUCGUGCGAACUUGGUAGAGAUACCUUGGUGCCUUCGGGAACGCACAGACAGGUGCUGCAUGGCUGUCGUCAGCUCGU
rnacentral:rRNA from 1 species